ACUAAUACAUUAAUUUUCGGUUGUCACAAUAUUUAUAUAUCUUUGUAGACAAUAUGUAUCUGGUAUAAUAACUAAUAAAUAUUAAAUACAUACAGAUAUUGGAAAUCUACAUAGAUAAAUAUCAGUUGAGUUUCCAGAACUAUGAAUAUUCAUUUUAAUUGGAAUAAAUAAUAUGAAUUGAUUUAACCUCUUGAGGCUACAAUUACAAACAUUUAAAAAUUCCUAACAUUAAAAGAUCCGUGAAUGAUAAAACAAAUUAGCACCUGAAUAAAAUUGACUUGAGAACGACAGCUCUGGCAUAAAAAUGCAAAAAUAAUUCCCAUGAUCGAGUCGAGGCACAAAUCACUCGGCAAUGGCUCUGACGAUGAGACUGUCUGUGAGUCGGACUCGAACUCGAAAGCGAAGCGAAGCGAGUCGAAUCGAAUCGAAGCCGAAAAAUGCAAAUGGAGUGACAAUUUCCCAGCACGUUCAAACGGAGGCAAACUCAUUAAUUAAAUCAGCGGUGGUGUUGGCUUUCCAUCGGUAUUUGCCAUACAAAUGUUUUAAACUAAUGGUCAUACUCGCAGAACUAUCCGUCGUACUAUGGCCCCGUCCAGAACAGGCGACAACUCCAGCAAUUAACAAAUUUAUAAUUUCCAAACGUUUGCGACGAUGAGACAGCCGCCAGACGGGCAAUUGGCGACGGCGGCGAAUUAAAAUUACAGACAACACAAUGAAUAAAUAGAGAUACAUAUAGACAGAUAGAUGGAUGGAUAGAUGGAUCGAUAUACCCCCGAUAGAGUCUUGAACCGCACAAAUAAAUAAAGGUUCAAUUUUACGUCAUAAAAAAGCGUUAGAA